CUACGGGCCGCUCCAGUGGGGAAUAUUGCACAAUGGAGGAAACUCUGAUGCAGCAACGCCGCGUGGAGGAUGACACUUUUCGGAGCGUAAACUCCUUUUAUAUAGGAAGAUAAUGACGGUACUAUAUGAAUAAGCACCGGCUAACUCCGUGCCAGCAGCCGCGGUAAUACGGAGGGUGCAAGCGUUACUCGGAAUCACUGGGCGUAAAGAGCGUGUAGGCGGGUUAAUAAGUCAGAAGUGAAAUCCUAUGGCUCAACCAUAGAACUGCUUUUGAAACUGUUAACCUAGAAUAUGGGAGAGGUAGAUGGAAUUUCUGGUGUAGGGGUAAAAUCCGUAGAGAUCAGAAGGAAUACCGAUUGCGAAGGCGAUCUACUGGAACAUUAUUGACGCUGAGACGCGAAAGCGUGGGGAGCAAGCAGGAUUAGAUACCCCGGUAGUC
rnacentral:rRNA from 1 species